GCAUAUCAAUAAGCGGAGGAAAAGAAACUAACAAGGAUUCCCCUAGUAACUGCGAGUGAAGCGGGAAAAGCUCAAAUUUGAAAUCCGUCCUCCGACGGAGUUGUAAUCUAGAGAAGUGUUUUCGGCCGCUGCCUCGGUUAAUUCCUAUGGAAGAUGAGAUCAUAGAGGGUUACAAUCCCGUUCUUACCGAGCAAACAGCGUCUAUGUGAUACACUCUCGAAGAGUCGAGUUGUUUGGGAAUGCAGCUCAAAAUGGGUGGUAAAUUCCAUCUAAAGCUAAAUAUUGGCGAGAGACCGAUAGCGAACAAGUACCGUGAGGGAAAGAUGAAAAGCACUUUGGAAAGAGAGUUAAACAGUACGUGAAAUUGCUAAAAGGGAAGCGCUUGAAGUCAGUCGCGUUUAUGAGACUCAGCCUCACGGUGUAUUUCUCUUGAACGGGCCAACAUCGAUUUUGGGCGCGGGAAAAGGGUUUGGGGAAGGUGGCAACCUCGGUUGUGUUAUAGCCCCUUGCCGUACACCGCGCCUGGGAUCGAGGACCGCGGCUUUGCCUAGGAUGUUGGCGUAAUGGCUUUAAGCGACCCGUCUUGAAACACGGACC
rnacentral:rRNA from 1 species